GACGAACGCUGGCGGCGUGCUUAACACAUGCAAGUCGAACGGAAAGGCCCUGCUUUUGUGGGGUGCUCGAGUGGCGAACGGGUGAGUAACACGUGAGUAACCUGCCCUUGACUUUGGUAUAACUUCAGGAAACUGGGGCUAAUACCGGAUAGGAGCUCCUGCUGCAUGGUGGGGGUGGGAAAGUUUCGGCGGUUGGGGGUGGACUCGCGGCUUAUCAGCUUGUUGGUGGGGUAGUGGCUUACCAAGGCUUUGACGGGUAGCCGGCCUGAGAGGGUGACCGGCCACAUUGGGACUGAGAUACGGCCCAGACUCCUACGGGAGGCAGCAGUGGGGAAUAUUGCACAAUGGGCGGAAGCCUGAUGCAGCAACGCCGCGUGCGGGAUGACGGCCUUCGGGUUGUAAACCGCUUUCGCCUGUGACGAAGCGUGAGUGACGGUAAUGGGUAAAGAAGCACCGGCUAACUACGUG
rnacentral:rRNA from 1 species